AUUGAACGCUGGCGGCAGGCCUAACACAUGCAAGUCGAGCGGAUGAAGGGAGCUUGCUCCUGGAUUCAGCGGCGGACGGGUGAGUAAUGCCUAGGAAUCUGCCUGGUAGUGGGGGAUAACGUCCGGAAACGGGCGCUAAUACCGCAUACGUCCUGAGGGAGAAAGUGGGGGAUCUUCGGACCUCACGCUAUCAGAUGAGCCUAGGUCGGAUUAGCUAGUUGGUGGGGUAAAGGCCUACCAAGGCGACGAUCCGUAACUGGUCUGAGAGGAUGAUCAGUCACACUGGAACUGAGACACGGUCCAGACUCCUACGGGAGGCAGCAGUGGGGAAUAUUGGACAAUGGGCGAAAGCCUGAUCCAGCCAGGCCGCGUGUGUGAAGAAGGUCUUCGGAUUGUAAAGCACUUUAAGUUGGGAGGAAGGGCAGUAAGUUAAUACCUUGCUGUUUGGACGUUACCAACAGAAUAAGCACCGGCUAACUGCGG
rnacentral:rRNA from 1 species